rnacentral:rRNA from 1 species
AUACGGAAGGUCCGGGCGUUAUCCGGAUUUAUUGGGUUUAAAGGGAGCGCAGGCGGAGAUGCAAGCGUGACGUCAAAUUUCGGGGCUCAACCCCGUCUCGCGUCGCGAACUGCGUCCCUUGGUUGCGGGAAGGGGAGGCGGAACUCGGGGUGUAGCGGGGAAAUGCAUAGAUAUCACGAAGAACUCCGAUCGCGAAGGCAGCCUUCCGGCCCGUCAACGACGCUCAUGCUCGAAGGUGCGGGUAUCAAACAGGAUUAGAUACCCUGGUAGUCCGCACAGUAAACGAUGGACACCCGCGGUUUGGCCUAUAUGGCUGAGCCGCCAAGCGAAAGCGUUAAGUGUCCCACCUGGGGAGUACGCCGGCAACGGUGAAACUCAAAGGAAUUGGCGGGG